CCUACGGGUGGCAGCAGUGAGGAAUAUUGGUCAAUGGACGAGAGUCUGAACCAGCCAAGUAGCGUGAAGGAUGACUGCCCUAUGGGUUGUAAACUUCUUUUAUAUGGGAAUAAAAUGUUCCACGUGUGGGAUUUUGUAUGUACCAUAUGAAUAAGGAUCGGCUAACUCCGUGCCAGCAGCCGCGGUAAUACGGAGGAUCCGAGCGUUAUCCGGAUUUAUUGGGUUUAAAGGGAGCGUAGGUGGAUUGUUAAGUCAGUUGUGAAAGUUUGCGGCUCAACCGUAAAAAUUGCAGUUGAAACUGGCAGUCUUGAGUACAGUAGAGGUGGGCGGAAUUCGUGGUGGAGCGGUGAAAUGCUUAGAUAUCACGAAGAACUCCGAUUGCGAAGGCAGUUCACUGGACUGCAACUGACACUGAGGCUCGAAAGUGUGGGUAUCAAACAGGAUUAGAUACCCGUGUAGUC
rnacentral:rRNA from 1 species